rnacentral:rRNA from 1 species
GCGUGCUAAUACAUGCAAGUAGAACGCUGAAGGAGGAGCUUGCUCUUCUGGAUGAGUUGCGAACGGGUGAGUAACGCGUAGGUAACCUGCCUGGUAGCGGGGGAUAACUAUUGGAAACGAUAGCUAAUACCGCAUAAGAGUAGAUGUUGCAUGACAUUUACUUAAAAGGUGCAAUUGCAUCACUACCAGAUGGACCUGCGUUGUAUUAGCUAGUUGGUGGGGUAACGGCUCACCAAGGCGACGAUACAUAGCCGACCUGAGAGGGUGAUCGGCCACACCGGGACUGAGACACGGCCCAGACUCCUACGGGAGGCAGCAGUAGGGAAUCUUCGGCAAUGGACGGAAGUCUGACCGAGCAACGCCGCGUGAGUGAAGAAGGUUUUCGGAUCGUAAAGCUCUGUUGUAAGUCAAGAACGAGUGUGAGAGUGGAAAGUUCACACUGUGACGGUAGCUUACCAGAAAGGGACGGCUAACUACGUGCCAGCAGCCGCGGUAAUACGUAGGUCCCGAGCGUUGUCCGGAUUUAUUGGGCGUAAAGCGAGCGCAGGCGGUUUGAUAAGUCUGAAGUUAAAGGCUGUGGCUCAACCAUAGUUCGCUUUGGAAACUGUCAAACUUGAGUGCAGAAGGGGAGAGUGGAAUUCCAUGUGUAGCGGUGAAAUGCGUAGAUAUAUGGAGGAACACCGGUGGCGAAAGCGGCUCUCUGGUCUGUAACUGACGCUGAGGCUCGAAAGCGUGGGGAGCGAACAGGAUUAGAUACCCUGGUAGUCCACGCCGUAAACGAUGAGUGCUAGGUGUUGGAUCCUUUCCGGGAUUCAGUGCCGCAGCUAACGCAUUAAGCACUCCG